UGGUGCCAUGUGGACAGCCGGGUUUCAGAGGCAUCUCGACGGGUUGUUCAAGAAGAAGAAGAGAAAUUGAUAUUGCAGAAGAUCCCACUUCAGAAAAUGAUGGUGGAGAUAAUGGCAAAAUGUGGUUUAAAGAAUAUGAGUAAUGAUGUGGAGCGAUGCUUGUCCUUGUGCGCAGAAGAGAGAAUGCGUGGACUCAUAUCUAAUAUAAUUAGACUUUCAAAACAG